GGCGUUUCUGUGGAUGUGCGCGAAGUUUGUUUGCUGAAGUGCUGUGUAAAAGUGCACUGACAUGCAAGACAUCCAAAAAGAAGAACCUCACUCGGGAGAGGUGAAAAACUCACCGGCCACGAUAUUUCAGUUAUCAUACAGUUACGAAGUGUGUGACGUUGGGUGGAUCCAUCUUGCCAAUGGCUGAAACGCCCCACAUGAGUGUGGUUCUGCAAAGCUUCAUGAAACAGUCCUGCAUUUGUGAGAAGGGCAUCAACAUAUGAACCAAGAUUCUACUGGUCUACCAUUUGGUCCUCGCAAAUUUCUCUGCACUCAUCCAAGAUUCCGAGGAGGUGUCUUCAGUCUACUUCACAUCGCUGAAAAUAUUUCACCAAACCCACGUUCUGUUACCUACGGUGCACGCUGCUACGUUAUCAUCGACAGGUUAUGACGACAUCAUUCAUAUCUGUUACCCUCCCGUCGUGCUUCCGUCGAUGUCAACGGUGGUGCCACCAUGGGGACUUAUAAAAGCCAGCAGUCUUGCCUUUGGCAUCAUUGGACACGGAUGCUCCUUCUGGAGCACAACGAUGAAUAAUCCGCUGUGCUUCAUUCCACAGUGCAUCGGAAGUGGAACUACUUGUGGUUGUGCAGUGCUGUGUGGGUGACUAAUGAGGAUUCUUAUCAAGGAACAUUCUUCUACAUAUUUACGUUCUUGUGCAUGGGUGGAGUUGACAGAGAUGCUUUGUAGAAGUACGAGAAGAAUUUCUCAAGUAAGCGCUAUAAGUUCCUAUUUCUGGCAGGUACUGCUGUCGACAAGUAGCUCCCUUGGUCGCCAUAUUGGACAAAUACAGCUGAGAACAGCUGCAAGAAUGCUGAUGCUACAGGAGAGAGGCUAUAACAUGCUUCAAAUGCAAUAGUAGCGCCACACAUUUUUGAGUGGCUGCAUAAUGCCUCAUCUACAAAUACCGUGAAUCUUGUUUAUAACGAACUCGA